AGGGUAUUGAUGAAAUUCAUAGUCCCUAGAAGGGCAUCUAUGAAAUUAUCCCUAGGUUAUAAAUACAUAUUUUUAAAUACUUUUAUAUAAAUAUCUUAUUUAUAUUAAUUUUUUAAAAAAAAUCUACUAAGAUUUAAAUUUAAAAUCUAAUCCAAUCAAAAAUAAAAAAUUUUUCUAUUCAACCAACUCCACUCAGCCCACUCGGCCCGAUUACAAAUAGAAAAAAAAAAAAAAAUUGAUUACUAUAUCUCCUUCUUCUUUUCCGGCGCCGCAGCCAACGAGAUAGGAUUCCGAUGACUUGAGUUCGGCAGCGAGGAUCUCGCAAAGGUCGUAAAAGACUACAAUGGCCACGCGUUCCCCCGCCACAGGUCGUUAGAGGAGUGGGUGCCAAACAUCGAUGCGGCUCCACAUAUAGCAACCUCAUAUAUAACAACACUUUUAAAAAGUAUCGAUAAUUUAGCCAACAAUACUUUUUUUUACCUAUACCGAUAUUUAAAAGUGUCGCUUUACACCGUUUUUUAUUAUAGUGCUAGCUAAGUGUGUUAUAUUAUACGUACAUAU
rnacentral:lncRNA from 1 species